GACUCUGACGUUUAGAUUAGAACUUCUAGCUGUCUAUGUUCUGCAACAAUUCAUCUUAGCGGCGACGAAAAAUCUGGAGACGUUACAGAAUCAGACUGAAUCAAACGUCGUCUUUAACGCAAUCAUUAAGAAUAGCUCCACUACUUUCACAAUUCAUCAAUGAAUGCCUUCACUUCCUUUUCCUGAAUCUCCGACUAUAUAAAGAAUCUCUCACUACAGAAGGCUUUCGUGAUCGUGUUUUACUGUGUUCGAAUUUUGGAAGAGCUGGAAGGACAUGUGAAGCUGAUGAGGACACAAACAUCGUUGCUGCAGUAACCGUCGAUGGUACAAACGUCUUUUCAGAGCGUACGUUCAAUUGCUAGCGAAGUCCCUCACCAGAAACAAGAUUUAGAAGAAACCCGCCUAAACCAUUCAGUCAAGUCCUCAAACUGGGCUAAUCCAAAUCGAACCGGGUCUAGCUUUCACCAUGGUUUCUCUCUCGAUCUUCUUCUUCGUCGUGUUCUCUUCCGAGAACCUCCUCUUAGCUCUGAUCUUCGUUGCCGUCCUUCUCUUCAUCGCCUCGAGUGUGUACUUAGUAUCUUCUUCGUUUGAGCAUUUUUCUGCCUGGAUUGAUUUUGAGCUCAGAUGGUGAUAUAAUUGAAUGUGUUCCUAUCUCAAAGCAACCAGCUUUUGAUCAUCCUUUCCUCAAAUAUCUCAGCCUAAUUACCAUCCUGAGGAAUUAUUUGAUGACAACAAAGUGUCUCCUACUAAGUCAAAAGAGAAGGGCAUACAUAUCCCUCAGUUAUGGAAUUCAUAUGGUAAAUGUGCCGAAGGAACCAUUCCCAUGAGGAGGACAAAGGAAGGUGAUACCUGGAGAGCAAGUUCAGUCAAAAUAUAUGGCAAGACGAAGCAUAGAACUGUCAUCUUACCUAAAUCUGCAGAAUCUGGCCUCAUCAACCAAAGUGGUCACUAGUAGCAUGCCAUAACCUAUGUGGACAGGGAUAAGUAUAUAAAGUGACUAUAAAUGUGUGGGGGCCUAAGGUACAUCAUAUAAGGUUGGCAGAUACACUCAGCUUCUAGGGAACAUAUAUGAAUAUGAUUCCGUUUCUCAUAUUCUGUAUAAUGAUCUGUGUAUGCAGAGAUUAGUGAAACUGUUAUCUUCAGUUACUAUUGCUGUUCACAUUUCUUUUACUAAUUUUUUGUUUUACAUAUGAAACAAAAGCUGAUAUUUCAUUGGUUCCAUAGGAAAGUGAGUAAGGGGCUUAGGUUCGAUU